CCGGCGGCGGGUGUGGGUGGGCCUGCCAUGUGCCAUCCCCAGGGGCUUGCCAGAGGGACUCCUCAUGGUGGACUAAUGUUAGUAUAGACAAGUCUGAUUUUAUUUUCCAUAAUUCUUCAAACGGAAUAAUCCAACUGAAAAUGUAAUCAAAUGAAAAAUAUUGCAUACAUAGACAUGGUUCUGUUCGAGUAUUUAAAAAUAUAGUCGAAGCUAAGGAUUUUAGGAAGUGUGCCAUGUCAAAUAGUUUGAAAUUAGUAUUUAAACUGCCGUGUUGUAUGGCUAAAUGCUGUGUAUACCAAGCACAAAAAAGAGAAUUUGACCAAAUCAGUUUUCCAUAACUGGGGGAAAACGGUUUAUUUAUUAAUCAUCUCCCCAAAAGAAACAUUCAAACAUCAAGAGUGAUCCGUCAUCUUGCCAAAUACACACUGGUUCUUGCCUUGAUGCAAAGAUGAGAACAUUUCUUGUGAACUAUGGUCUUUAAAUGACAUGAAAUGCAGUGUCAAGCAGCCUUGUAGACAGGAACAACGGAGGUGUGCUCGCUUUAAAACUAAAAGUGCACAGAAGACAUACUCUUAUAAAUAAUGGCACCAUCUAUCGCUACAUUAAAGACAUUUUAGUGUACAAAUCCAGCAUUGAAAAGAUCUCAUACAUAAUCCACAGGUUAUUUUAUACUGCACACAUUUCUAUUAACAUCUUAUGCUGAUCUGAAUUCAAUAAGUUACCUAUUUAUAUUACUAUUAUGGGCUAGUACCGCAUUCUACACUUGUGUUGGUUUAGUGCAACAUGUAAAAUCACUGAAACAUUACAUUUACUUUUUACUUUCAUGUAGUAGUCAAGGUUCCCUUCAGUAAAACUAUUUGUGGGCAUAAAGAACAUCUCAUAGACACCGUUAAGGGUGAAUCCUCACGAGUGGACCUGCUGUACAGGAGCAGGUAACAAACGUCCCUUAGAACUAUUGGUUGGUAGUGAAGAAUACAUUUAAAGAAAGUGACCAGGGUUACAAACAGGUUAUCACACCAGUUCACACACUGUUCAGGCCUGAACAUGACAAGUCAACCAACGGUCUUUUUGUAGCCUUUGUUUGUUUGUCUGACAAUAUGGAGCAACGCUUUCAGUGGGUUGAAUUAAAUCACAACAGACAGGUUUCGGACAUCCAUCACUAGUACAGCUUUCAAGAGAUAAAAUUAGUUUUGAUUAAAUUGUGGCUUGGCAUAAAAAAAAGA